CGCGGCCUAUCAGCUUGUUGGUGAGGUAACGGCUCACCAAGGCGACGACGGGUAGCUGGUCUGAGAGGACGAUCAGCCACACUGGAACUGAGAUACGGUCCAGACUCCUACGGGAGGCAGCAGCAGGGAAUCUUGCGCAAUGGGCGAAAGCCUGACGCAGCGACGCCGCGUGGGGGAUGAAGGCCUUAGGGUUGUAAACCCCUUUCACGAGGGAAGAAACUGACGGUACCUCGAGAAGAAGCCCCGGCCAACUACGUGCCAGCAGCCGCGGUAAGACGUAGGGGGCGAGCGUUGUCCGGAAUUAUUGGGCGUAAAGGGCUCGUAGGCGGCUUGGAAAGUCGGCCGUGAAAACCCAGGGCUCAACCCUGGGACGCCGGUCGAUACUUCCAUGGCUAGGGUCCGGUAGAGGGGAAUGGAAUUCCCGGUGUAGCGGUGAAAUGCGCAGAUAUCGGGAGGAACACCAGUAGCGAAGGCGGUUCCCUGGGCCGGCACCGACGCUGAGGAGCGAAAGCGUGGGGAGCAAACAGGAUUAGAUACCCUGGUAGUCCACGCCGUAAACGUUGGGUACUAGGCGUGGCGUCUUAUCAACGGACGCCGUGCUCGAAGCUAACGCGUUAAGUACCCCGCCUGGGGAGUGG
rnacentral:rRNA from 1 species